GCCCGCCUUCGGGCGGGCCGGUAGAGUGGCGCACGGGUGAGUAACACGUAGACAACCUGCCUUCCAGUCUGGGAUAACCUCUCGAAAGAGGGGCUAAUACCGGAUAACACUCGGGGUCGCAUGGCCCUGGGUUGAAAGGCUUGCUGCUGGAAGAGGGGUCUGCGGGACAUUAGCUUGUUGGCGGGGUAACGGCCCACCAAGGCGAUGAUGUCUAGCGGGUCUGAGAGGAUGAUCCGCCACACUGGAACUGAGAUACGGUCCAGACUCCUACGGGAGGCAGCAGUGGGGAAUUUUGCGCAAUGGGCGAAAGCCUGACGCAGCAACGCCGCGUGAGUGAAGAAGGCCUUUGGGUCGUAAAGCUCUUUUCCGGGGGAAGAGACCAGACGGUACCCCGGGAAUAAGCACCGGCUAACUCCGUGCCAGCAGCCGCGGUAAUACGGAGGGUGCAAGCGUUGUUCGGAUUUACUGGGCGUAAAGGGCGUGUAGGCGGGUGCGCAAGCCGGAGGUGAAAGCCCCAGGCUCAACCUGGGAAGCUCUUCCGGAACUGCGCGUCUAGAGAUGGUCAGAGGCAGGUGGAAUUCCUGGUGUAGAGGUGAAAUUCGUAGAGAUCA
rnacentral:rRNA from 1 species